rnacentral:rRNA from 1 species
CGGAAUAACCAUUGGAAACGAUGGCUAAUGCCGAAUAUGACCUCGGAUCACAUGUUCUGAGGUGGAAAGCUCCGGCGGAGAAGGAUGAGCUCGCGGCCUAUCAGCUUGUUGGUGAGGUAACGGCUCACCAAGGCAUUGACGGGUAGCCGGCCUGAGAGGGUGACCGGCCACACUGGGACUGAGACACGGCCCAGACUCCUACGGGAGGCAGCAGUGGGGAAUAUUGGACAAUGGGCGAAAGCCUGAUCCAGCAACGCCGCGUGAGGGAUGACGGCCUUCGGGUUGUAAACCUCUUUCAGCAGGGACGAAGCGAAAGUGACGGUACCUGCAGAAGAAGGACCGGCCAACUACGUGCCAGCAGCCGCGGUAAUACGUAGGGUCCGAGCGUUGUCCGGAAUUAUUGGGCGUAAAGGGCUCGUAGGCGGUUUGUCGCGUCGGGAGUGAAAACUCAGGGCUCAACCCUGAGCGUGCUUCCGAUACGGGCAGACUAGAGGUAUGCAGGGGAGAACGGAAUUCCUGGUGUAGCGGUGGAAUGCGCAGAUAUCAGGAGGAACACCGGUGGCGAAGGCGGUUCUCUGGGCAUUACCUGACGCUGAGGAGCGAAAGCAUGGGGAGCGAACAGGAUUAGAUACCCUGGUAGUCCAUGCCGUAAACGUUGGGCGCUAGGUGUGGGGACCUUCCACGGUCUCCGUGCCGCAGC